CAGCGACGCCGCGUGGAGGAAGAAGUCCUUCGGGAUGUAAACUUCUGAACUAGCCGAAUAAAAGGCCUGUGGACACACAGGAGAAGAAAGUAGGCUAGGAAAAGUCCCGGCUAACUACGUGCCAGCAGCCGCGGUAAUC
rnacentral:rRNA from 1 species